CAACGUAGGUAACUACGUAGAUCGCUUAGCGCAAAAUUACGAUCGUACAGAAAUCUUUUUCUUCGAUCGUACAGAAGUUAAUGUUUCAUUCGUUCUUAUUUUUUUCGUACGGAUUAAUUGAUCGUUAAAUCGAGAAUCGUGCAAUACGAUUUAAUUACGUUUCCUUUUUCAUUUAUUAACGUUUUAUAAUGAUUUUGUUACGGUAAUACGAUUAAAGUUAAGGACAACGAUGAAGAUCGAAGACCUUAAAAGCGGGGAGCAUGUAACAAAUGGUUCGAUUAAAAUCCCAUCGGGAAGAUGCGAUUCUCUCGAGCUAAUAGCCGAAACACCAGGGGAAUCUUUCUCGUAGAGAAAAGCCGCUUUAUUGACCGUAAAAGAAAAAGUAGAGUAAACCGAGAGAAGAGACUAUCAAAAGAUUGAGAUUGAGAUCUGCAUUUGGACUGACCGGAGUUUCGCCAUCUUCCAUCAUCAAAGUUGUCUCCUCCGUUACGUUUUCGUA